rnacentral:rRNA from 1 species
GCUGAUGCGUUGUUGGGUAGGGGAGCGUUCUGUAAGCCUGCGAAGGUGACCUGUGAGGGUUGCUGGAGGUAUCAGAAGUGCGAAUGCUGACAUAAGUAACGAUAAAGCGGGUGAAAAGCCCGCUCGCCGGAAGACCAAGGGUUCCUGUCCAACGUUAAUCGGGGCAGGGUGAGUCGACCCCUAAGGCGAGGCCGAAAGGCGUAGUCGAUGGGAAACGGGUUAAUAUUCCCGUACUUGGUGUUACUGCGAAGGGGGGGACGGAGAAGGCUAUGUUGGCCGGGCGACGGUUGUCCCGGUUUAAGCGUGUAGGUGUGUGUUCCAGGUAAAUCCGGUUCACUUUAACACUGAGGCGUGAUGACGAGGCACUACGGUGCUGAAGCAACAAAUGCCCUGCUUCCAGGAAAAGCCUCUAAGCAUCAGGUAACAUCAAAUCGUACCCCAAACCGACACAGGUGGUCAGGUAGAGAAUACCAAGGCGCUUGAGAGAACUCGGGUGAAGGAACUAGGCAAAAUGGUGCCGUAACUUCGGGAGAAGGCACGCUGACACGUAGGUGAAGUGAUUUACUCACGGAGCUGAAGUCAGUCGAAGAUACCAGCUGGCUGCAACUGUUUAUUAAAAACACAGCACUGUGCAAACACGAAAGUGGACGUAUACGGUGUGACGCCUGCCCGGUGCCGGAAGGUUAAUUGAUGGGGUCAGCGCAAGCGAAGCUCCUGAUCGAAGCCCCGGUAAACGGCGGCCGUAACUAUAACGGUCCUAAGGUAGCGAAAUUCCUUGUCGGGUAAGUUCCGACCUGCACGAAUGGCGUAAUGAUGGCCAGGCUGUCUCCACCCGAGACUCAGUGAAAUUGAACUCGCUGUGAAGAUGCAGUGUACCCGCGGCAAGACGGAAAGACCCCGUGAACCUUUACUAUAGCUUGACACUGAACAUUGAGCCUUGAUGUGUAGGAUAGGUGGGAGGCUUUGAAGUGUGGACGCCAGUCUGCAUGGAGCCGACCUUGAAAUACCACCCUUUAAUGUUUGAUGUUCUAACGUGGACCCGUUACCCGGGUUGCGGACAGUGUCUGGUGGGUAGUUUGACUGGGGCGGUCUCCUCCUAAAGAGUAACGGAGGAGCACGAAGGUUGGCUAAUCCUGGUCGGACAUCAGGAGGUUAGUGCAAUGGCAUAAGCCAGCUUGACUGCGAGCGUGACGGCGCGAGCAGGUGCGAAAGCAGGUCAUAGUGAUCCGGUGGUUCUGAAUGGAAGGGCCAUCGCUCAACGGAUAAAAGGUACUCCGGGGAUAACAGGCUGAUACCGCCCAAGAGUUCAUAUCGACGGCGGUGUUUGGCACCUCGAUGUCGGCUCAUCACAUCCUGGGGCUGAAGUAGGUCCCAAGGGUAUGGCUGUUCGCCAUUUAAAGUGGUACGCGAGCUGGGUUUAGAACGUCGUGAGACAGUUCGGUCCCUAUCUGCCGUGGGCGCUGGAGAACUGAGGGGGGCUGCUCCUAGUACGAGAGGACCGGAGUGGACGCAUCACUGGUGUUCGGGUUGUCAUGCCAAUGGCACUGCCCGGUAGCUAAAUGCGGAAGAGAUAAGUGCUGAAAGCAUCUAAGCACGAAACUUGCCCCGAGAUGAGUUCUCCCUGAGACUUUAGGUC